rnacentral:rRNA from 1 species
AUUGAACGCUGGCGGCAGGCUUAACACAUGCAAGUCGAGCGGUAACAGAGAGAAGCUUGCUUCUCUGCUGACGAGCGGCGGACGGGUGAGUAAUGCCUAGGAAUCUGCCUAGUAGUGGGGGAUAACUUGCCGAAAGGUAAGCUAAUACCGCAUACGUCCUACGGGAGAAAGGAGGGGACCUUCGGGCCUUUCGCUAUUAGAUGAGCCUAGGUCGGAUUAGUUAGUUGGUGAGGUAAUGGCUCACCAAGACCGCGAUCCGUAACUGGUCUGAGAGGAUGAUCAGUCACACUGGAACUGAGACACGGUCCAGACUCCUACGGGAGGCAGCAGUGGGGAAUAUUGGACAAAGGGGGGAACCCUGAUCCAGCCAUGCCGCGUGUGUGAAGAAGGUCUUAGGAUUGUAAAGCACCUUAAGUUGGGAGGAAGAGCAGUUAACUAAUAUUUGACUGUUUUGACGUUACCGACAGAAUAAGCACCGGCUAACUUCGUG